rnacentral:rRNA from 1 species
UGGGGAAUAUUGCACAAUGGGCGCAAGCCUGAUGCAGCCAUGCCGCGUGUGUGAAGAAGGCCUCGGUUGUAAAGCACUUUCAGCGAGGAGGAAGGUGGUGAACUUAAUACGUUCAUCAAUUGACGUUACUCGCAGAAGAAGCACCGGCUAACUCCGUGCCAGCAGCCGCGGUAAUACGGAGGGUGCAAGCGUUAAUCGGAAUUACUGGGCGUAAAGCGCACGCAGGCGGUUUGUUAAGUCAGAUGUGAAAUCCCCGGGCUCAACCUGGGAACUGCAUUUGAAACUGGCAAGCUAGAGUCUCGUAGAGGGGGGUAGAAUUCCAGGUGUAGCGGUGAAAUGCGUAGAGAUCUGGAGGAAUACCGGUGGCGAAGGCGGCCCCCUGGACGAAGACUGACGCUCAGGUGCGAAAGCGUGGGGAGCAAACAGGAUUAGAUACCCCUGGUAGUCCACGCUGUAAACGAUGUCGAUUUUGGAGGUUGUGCCCCUUGAGGCGUGGCUUCCGGAGCUAACGCGUUAAAUCGACCGCC